rfam:Treponema saccharophilum DSM 2985 Tsacc_Contig240, whole genome shotgun sequence.
GCGGGAAUAGCACAGUGGUAGUGCGCCACCUUGCCAAGGUGGAUGUCGUGGGUUCGAUCCCCAUUUCCCGCU